UACGUAGGGGGCUAGCGUUGUCCGGAUUUAUUGGGCGUAAAGAGCGUGUAGGCGGCCAGGUAGGUCUGCUGUGAAAACUCGAGGCUCAACCUCGAGACGUCGGCGGAAACCAUCUGGCUAGAGUCCGGAAGAGGAGAGUGGAAUUCCUGGUGUAGCGGUUAAAUGCGCAGAUAUCAGGAAGAACACCCGUGGCGAAGGCGGCUCUCUGGGACGGUACUGACGCUGAGACGCGAAAGCGUGGGGAGCGAACAGG
rnacentral:rRNA from 1 species